rnacentral:rRNA from 1 species
CCUACGGGUGGCUGCAGUGAGGAAUAUUGGUCAAUGGGCGCAAGCCUGAACCAGCCAAGUCGCGUGCAGGAAGACGGUCCUAUGGGUUGUAAACCUCUUUUGUCGGGGAGCAAAACACGCCACGCGUGGGGUUCCGCGUGUACCCUAUGAAAAAGCAUCGGCUAACUCCGUGCCAGCAGCCGCGGUAAUACGGAAGGUGCGGGCGUUAUCCGGAUUUAUUGGGUUUAAAGGGUGCGGAGGCGGGAAGUCAAGGCUGCUGUGAAAUGUGCGGGCUCAACCCGUGCCGGGCCGCGAAAACUGGUGUGCUUGAGUGAGCGGAAAGCAGGCGGAAUGCGUGGUGUAGCGGUGAAAUGCUUAGAUAUGACGAAGAACCCCGAUUGCGAAGGCAGCAUGCUGGAGCGGAACUGACGCUGAUGCUCGAAAGUGCGGGUAUCGAACAGGAUUAGAUACCCGAGUAGUC